rnacentral:rRNA from 1 species
UACGGGGGGGGGCAAGCGUUGUUCGGAAUUACUGGGCGUAAAGGGCUCGUAGGUGGCCAGGUAGGUCGGUUGUGAAAACUGGAGGCUCAACCUUCAGAGGUCGACCGAAACCAUCUGGCUAGAGUCCGGGAGAGGAUAGUGGAAUUCCCAGUGUAGUGGUGAAAUACGUAGAGAUUGGGAAGAACACCAGUGGCGAAGGCGGCUAUCUGGACGGUUUCUGACACUAAGACUCGAAAGCGUGGGGAGCAAACAGG